CAAUAUUCCCAGCAUGCAUCACAGUUCCCUCCCCUCUGCUCGAGGGAUAAUUGGGAAGUAACUCAAUUAUCUCCCCGAGCAGAGGCAAUCGCCAUUUUAAACACAAGUCACAAAACACAUGAAAAUCCAUAACUUCAUAACUGCUGAACAUAUUACAUUCGUAUCGAAUAUCCCCAGAUAGCCUGGAUCUGAGGGCACAUUAUUGGAGAAUAGCGCUCAGAUCCCAUUCGCACAGUUCAAUCGCCAUGGAGUCAAAAUCUCUUUCAGUUCGUCGGUAUGCGAUUGACUCCAUGGGACGGCUAUCUGGGUUAAGUCCAUUCGUGUGGUUGAAUCUCCCGAACGGCUGGCAUUCGUAUACUUUUGUCGAUUGAGAAGGAGAGGUCGACGGCUUCAGCGGUGUUCGGCUGAAAAAGUGUCCGUUUUCCGAUCCAUGAAAUAAUCGAACACCGCUGGUCGUUCGCAUGGACAAAAUGGCCGCCGCCUCGUGGUCGACAUACGAACGACGACCACCCGGCAUUCGGUUUUAAUUGAGAAGUGUCUAUGGUUAACCGCAACGUUCUAAUUGGGAUCAAUAGGUUAACCAGCAGCACACUUCUCUU